rnacentral:rRNA from 1 species
GACGUAGGGCGCGAGCGUUUGUCCGGAUUUAUUGGGCGUAAAGAGCUCGUAGGCGGCUUGUCGCGUCGUUCGUGAAAACCUGUGGCUCAACUACAGGCUUGCGGUCGAUACGGGCAGGCUGGAGUUCGGUAGGGGAGACUGGAAUUCCUGGUGUAGCGGUGAAAUGCGCAGAUAUCAGGAGGAACACCGAUGGCGAAGGCAGGUCUCUGGGCAUUAACUGACGCUGAGGAGCGAAAGCAUGGGGAGCGAACAGG